rnacentral:rRNA from 1 species
GACGAACGCUGGCGGCGUGCCUAAUACAUGCAAGUCGAACGCUUCUUUCCUCCCGAGUGCUUGCACUCAAUUGGAAAGAGGAGUGGCGGACGGGUGAGUAACACGUGGGUAACCUACCCAUCAGAGGGGGAUAACACUUGGAAACAGGUGCUAAUACCGCAUAACAGUUUAUGCCGCAUGGCAUAAGAGUGAAAGGCGCUUUCGGGUGUCGCUGAUGGAUGGACCCGCGGUGCAUUAGCUAGUUGGUGAGGUAACGGCUCACCAAGGCCACGAUGCAUAGCCGACCUGAGAGGGUGAUCGGCCACACUGGGACUGAGACACGGCCCAGACUCCUACGGGAGGCAGCAGUAGGGAAUCUUCGGCAAUGGACGAAAGUCCGACCGAGCAACGCCGCGUGAGUGAAGAAGGUUUUCGGAUCGUAAAACUCUGUUGUUAGAGAAGAACAAGGACGUUAGUAACUGAACGUCCCCUGACGGUAUCUAACCAGAAAGCCACGGCUAACUACGUG